rnacentral:rRNA from 1 species
GACGGAGGGGGCAAGCGUUGUCCGGACUCACUGGGCGUAAAGGGUGCGUAGGCGGUUUGGUGCGUCGGCGCUGAAAUCUCGAGGCUCAACCUCGAGGCGCGUGCCGAUACGACCAGACUUGAGGCUCUGAGAGGGUGGCGGAACUCCUGGUGUAGUGGUGAAAUGCGUAGAUAUUGGGAGGAACACCAGUGGCGAAGGCGGCUCACUGGACCGGAACUGACGCUGAGGCGCGAAAGCGUGGGGAGCAAACAGG